CUUUUGUAUUGCUGCCACCACCUCCACCAUCGGGCACUUUCUCAAACACUCGCCUGCGCAGCCUCGGAGCAAUCCGUCUCCCUGCAGACAGGGGAUAACAGGGCUUUGAUAUUAGGGGUCUCCCAGGAGCAGGGCACCUCCUGCCUGUCUCUGGGGUCACCUGGCAACCAUUUCCCAUCCUCCUGCCAUCAGAUCCGUAUCCAGCAAGGGCGUCUGGAAGAUCAUUUGGGAUGGGAGCUGCUCCCUUUCACCACCCCUGCUGGCCUUCUGUGUGCAGAGCUAACAUCGCUGAGUUGACUGGAGUAAGCCCAAAGGACGUUAAGCACCGUCAUGGCCACUGGGUUUUGCUACAGGAGUAGAAGUGGAUGCGUGGUUUGUGCCAAUGGUUUGUGCCAAUCCAUACCUUGGGAGAAGCAUCUUCUUUUAAAGUCCCACCUUGGUCGAUAACACAAACUCAGAUGAUGGUAGAUGAAAAGGAUAGUGGUGCGCAGUGGAGCUUCCUUAAGAAGGUCCCAUAACUCCAUAAGGCUCCAGCAAGAUGAAUCUCUCACCAGCGCAGAGCUUUUGGGAAAAAUCGUUCUUCAAGAUAGAAACUUACCCCUCUGUCUUUCCUCUGGGGUCACCUUUACAGACAGGCACAGCUGGUGGUUUGCUGUGGAUUGCCUCGCUUGGACAAGAUCUCCAGAGUGCCCCGAUCACCAGACCACUCUGUAUCCUGGACAAGAGCAGUCGCCAGCUCUUCUUUUCAAGCCAAGCCAUGGUACAGCCAGGCUGUCAAGAGCCACAUGGAACAGACAUCAAGCAGGAGGGAGCUGGGCAGCAGGCAGCAGCCAGGCACUCAUUGGCCAUGCAGGAGCAGUGCUGGGUUUUGCUAUGGCUUUUUUCUGUUUUUCAUCCAGCGAUGCUAAACUAUAACAGCAGAGAGGCCCCAGCAUGCCGCAAAGGUAACAGCAAUAGGGACAUGAUUGCCUGAUUGCCACCACCUUGAUCGUAUCAGAAGUCCUGCCACAUCACCUGGAAACUGAGGCAGGGUGUAGGUCCCUGUUUGCCUACACUUGGAUUGCUUCAGGAUCGGUAGCCCCAACCAUGACACCUGCACCAGCAACCGCAGCAAAGAGCCUGGGCAGCAUUCAGGCUAAAUAUUCAAGGAUUUAGUUGUCAAUGUCCAAGUACGCAGUUGUUGAAAAGGAACGGUUUUGACAAACUGGACCGAUGUCUGAUAUUUGUAAACCAGAGUGUGUCUGUGUUCGUAUUUAUUCACACCAUUCUCCAAUGUUCCAGUUCCUAGAUCGGUGUGAGGAUAGUUCCUUGGAAAUUAAUAACUGUUAGAGCUCUGUGGCUCAGUGAACUGUUUACUUCCUUACAUCAUUAAUACUAUCCUUGUAGAGAGAAGGAGUGUUGAAAAUAAUAAACACUCUUUCCUUCAUUAAUAUUCUGAAGACUCCGGGAGCAAAGACUCGACGUGACUGCUAGCUAGUGUGGGGCCUCGAAAUACACAGCGUCCAGCUGGUGCUUCGGUCCACACUCAGGUCUUUUCUCAUCACCAUAAUAAAACAGUGCUAUCAUUAAA